GCCGGCUUAGCUCAGUUGGUAGAGCACCGCUCUUGUAAAGCGGGGGUCGUGGGUUCGAGCCCCUCAGCCGGCACCU
rnacentral:tRNA from 1 species